GAGGAAUAUUGGGCAAUGGAGGCAACUCUGACCCAGCCAUGCCGCGUGCAGGAAGACGGCCCUAUGGGUUGUAAACUGCUUUUAUACAGGAAGAAACUUACCCACGUGUGGGUAACUGACGGUACUGUAAGAA
rnacentral:rRNA from 1 species